CGUCAUUCGCCUUUCUCUUCGCCUGCCCUGCGGUCCUGUUGAAGCGUUGAUGACGAACAAAACAAGACACCGAUGUCUUUACGCACGAGUUACUUUAGACAUCAAAGGAAACAUCUUAAUGUCAGCAAGUAUAAGUUUUCAUGUUUUGCCUCUGAAUGCAAUGCGAAGCGUUUUCUUCACAUUCCGUUUUCUCUUCUCAGUGCCUAAGAAAUGAUGCUCAUAAAAAGCAACAACUGCCGGCUCCAACGAUUUCCAGCAUGGAGGAGACUGAAUCAUUCCUUCUUGAAGAACUGCAGGUACCGACAGAAUAACGGAGCAUACAAGAGCUGAUUUUCUCCUGUAGGAAGGACAACAAAUCCAGGAUUUCUCUGUUCCAUCCACGCUAGUCAUAUAUUAUAAAUUGGCAGGAGAACCACUGCAGGGUGUCGCUCUUCCACCCACG